rnacentral:tRNA from 1 species
AAAAAAUUAGUUAAAUCAUAACAUUAGUUUGUCAGGCUAAAAUUAUUAAUUAUUAAUAUUUUUUA